AGCUCAUAGGGCAGGCCGCCUUCGUACAAGGCAAGCAACUGGUUCGCGUGGUAGAUCACGUUUGUGUUGGCGAGAUUCUUUUGCUCAAGGCGGAACGCGUUGGUCACGAUUCCACCCGGCAGCGGUGUAGCAAAAGUGCCGCGGUAGAGCUGAUAGCCGGCGCGACGCUCUUUUAAGUAGCCCUCUGUUCGAACAAAACGAUUGCGGAACCAUACUGUUCCGUCUCCGCGCAGCGUGAACGCUGCAACGGCUCCAUCACCUUCCCAGGGAUGAAGCAUUCGUCGAGAGCCAAUGGUGAACUUGGAUGGACCGUUUCGAUACAGGGUGCCGACGAGGUCAUGAGGAAGGUCGGGUAAGUCCAGUACGUAGGAGUCCUCCUCGUUCAUAUCGCCGUGCGCUAGCUCCCAGGAUCGACGAUCGAAAGCACUCAGCGACUGUGUUUUACCUGGUGCCGAGGUUAGCUGGCCCUGUUCACGAACCGUGUUGGUCGCUCCGCUUUCCUGGGAACUCAGAUGUGUCGCACCGCCGCUGCGAGCAGGCCGAAGGCUUCUUCUCUUCAGUCUGCCACAUUGGAAAGUAGCGGUGGCGUUCACACUAGCGCCCUUCCAGUGCCUGAGUGCACCGUUGCCGACCACGAAGGCAGUCUUAUCUCCAGGAUGCAAAUUCAUACUGCAAUGAUAUUAUACGAGUUUAAUCACUGGACCAACGAGUCCUCAAACGUCGUAUAGUGGCCUGCGCACGAGUCCCUUCGAUGCUGUAGCGGGAACAUGCGCGUGAUAGAAUGGACUACGAGUCAGAGGUAUGCAUUUGCUCGAAGGAUCGAUCACAGGAUGCAGGGGCGAUUUGUACAAACCCUUCCAGACCUAACAUUUCUGUAUAUCAUAGAACAAGCGUCACGCACGGGCAUCCCGCAUAUGCGAAACGCGCAGCGGCGGCCUAUAACCUCAUUGCGGGCGAUGCUUGAUGACCCACGAUGUGCGUGUCUCGAAUGGGAUUUUCCCAGGAGAUGCCGUCCAUAUCGGUUCUUGGAGGCGAGAUACCUCCUCUUCAGCAGACAAUUCUGCAUUCUACUGCCGCAGAACCGGUCUUCUCGUAGGGGAUAGUUGUUCGGUGCAUCCAAAGGUCCACCUAGCGCCCAGGCAUGCGUAGGCGAUUGCUGUACCACCGUCGCGGUCGCUGACUUCAGCCAGUGCGGCUUCGCGGUGCCUUGAGAGCCCGCACUGCGUUCUAUUCUCGGGCACGAGCAUUGCACCGCACUCAAUGCCCGUGGACGCGCGAACGCUGCCGAUAAUUUUCUACUGGAUUCGCGUAUCGCUUAGAAUACACGCUCUGAUUUUUUCCAUAUCGCAAACGAUCGCCUCCAUGAAGCAACUUUGUCGCUCACGAAGCAUCCGAAAGUGACCGUUCCUAACAUGCCUUCGAUAAUCCUGCUCAAGAUCAAGUACGGCUUGAGGAAGCGAGCGGCGCGAACGCCUUUCGAUGCCUCGCGCGUACGCACAUGAUCCCUUCCUAUCUGCGCAAGAUCGAUGAAUCUGGACAAAACUCCUCACGGACACGACGAUCGAAAAAGACGUGCACACAGUCUCAAGUUUCUCGAUACGCGCACGCAUCUGCAGGCCAUGAUCACGUAAUCGGAACGCUUGCACUUUCUUCACUGUGUUUCCCCUGCCCUCAUGUAUUCCAUGCCCUGAGAUCGCGUGCUUCGUCAUCGCAUGCCGCGCAUCCCCAUGAGGUAUCCGGAUGCUGCGCUGCUGCAUUCCCCCGAGGGGGCUUUUCCUCUCCAUUCGCUGCCUGAUGCAGAACUAGCGUGCGUCAUUGAGACUGCACCAGAACCUUGCCUUCCCCGCACGGAAACAAGUCGUCGACAUAUGUUAUCGGUAUGCAACGCGAGAUGGUCUAUAUCGUCUUGAGCAAGAAACACCGUACAUAAAGCGAGCAAA